rnacentral:rRNA from 1 species
AUGGCGUGUCGUCAGCUCGUGUCGUGAGGAUGUUGGGUUAAGUCCCGUAACGAGCGCAACCCUCGUCCUUAGUUACCAGCACGUUAUGGUGGGCACUCUAAGGAGACUGCCGGUGACAAACCGGAGGAAGGUGGGGAUGACGUCAAGUCAUCAUGGCCCUUACGGCCUGGGCUACACACGUGCUACAAUGGUCGGUACAAAGGGUUGCCAAGCCGCGAGGUGGAGCUAAUCCCAUAAAACCGAUCGUAGUCCGGAUCGCAGUCUGCAACUCGACUGCGUGAAGUCGGAAUCGCUAGUAAUCGUGAAUCAGAAUGUCACGGUGAAUACGUUCCCGGGCCUU